rnacentral:lncRNA from 1 species
AACCAACCUUGGAUUCCUGGGAUAAGGUCAGCUUGGGCGUGGGUGACAUGUUCUCAUGAUCACUGCUAGAUUCAACCUGAAGUUCUUUUGUGCAGGCUUUUUGCUCUGGAGAUCUUGAGCAUCAGCCCGCAGUUUCCUUCACAGUUUGAGUGGGGCCUUCUAUUUUUUGGAUAUUUGUUAGGACAACCUCCUUGGGACUUAGGGGAAGAUUUGGCUGCUGAAUGAAUUGUUCAUGUUUGUAGAACUAUGCAUGUUUUUCCUUAAAUCAGUUUUGUAAAUUACAUAUUCUAACAAAUCUUCAGAUAAACUGAAAAGUUUUAAAAAACAUGACAUUUUGUAUAAUACUCGUUAAUGGUUCCAACGUGGCUGGUCCCCACUCAUUCCUGAGUGGCUAUUUCUGCCAGCAUCUUUCUCGCCCCCACUCCCCUCAGAUUUCUUCAGUCAUACCAGAUGUGUGCUUUUAUUAGGGCAAACCAUUAUCACUGCCAAUGUCCGAUGUAGAAUGACAGUCUACAAAAAACAGUGAUAUGAAUAGUUCCAGUUGGUUUGUCUUUUUGAAGAACUGACUGAUUGUUUCUACAUCGAUUUUCUUUUGCUAAUUUAGCUAUGGAUGUUUCUCACGCCCUCACGCCUCAGUGUGUGUGUUCGUGAGCAUCAAUUUCUUAAUUUCCCUAUUCCACUAGUGAAAGAUUCUCUCCACUGAGAGGAAAAACAAAAGCUGCUUUCCAGGAAGCCAUCAGGGCGAUCCCACAAGAGCAGAGCUGCGCAAGCCCAGGCUGGGCGCUGGCGACACUGCGCUGUUGUUCUCAGCCUCCCCCAGGCUUCCAGGCCAGGUUCAGCAUGGUUGCCAGGAAUCUUACUUCUCAUUUCACCCCAUGAUUCUGCUGUCCCACCUGCCCAUGUGACAGGGUGUUGUUAAUCUUUUUUUAAAAUCUUUUAUAGGAAAAAAAUUGGCCACUGAUGAUUCCAUUUGUGUGCUGGGAAUAAGCAAAAGAAACGUUAUUUUUCAACCUGUGGCAGAGCUGAAGAAGCAAACAGAUUGAAUAAGUCGGGGUCUUACAGCCUUAGCAAACCUAGCCAAUGCACAGGAUUCCCAAAGAACAGUGGUGGCUCAAGCUGCGGCCCCUCAUGAACAUCCUGGUCAAGUACAAGGCCAGCUUUGAAGUGUCGAACUCAGGCCAGCUAGAGCACAUGCAGCCCUGGAGCAUCUGACCCAGUCCUGCCUGCAUGUGCCUGCAACCUGGACUCACCGUGGACCAUCUGUUUUUGUAACACUUAAGUUAUUUAUCAGCACUUUAUGCAAGUAUUAUUGAUACUAAUACCUAACCAGCAAGCACCUGUCACCGCCCGUGUGCCCCACCAGCUCCAGUGCGUGCUGUCUGUGGACUGUGUCUCAUGCUUUCAGAUGUGCGUAUUAAACGUUUGCCUACAACUC